GUACAUAUUAGUAAGACAUACUAGUACUACUACUACUAGUACUGUAGUUCUAGUACGAGUAUGUUCUACUCGUAUAAGUACA
rnacentral:tRNA from 1 species